CGUGUAGGCGGUUUUUUAAGUCUGAUGUGAAAGCCCCGGGCUCAACCUGGGAAGUGCAUUGGAUACUGGGAGACUUGAAUACGGGAGAGGGUAGUGGAAUUCCUAGUGUAGGAGUGAAAUCCGUAGAUAUUAGGAGGAACACCGGUGGCGAAGGCGGCUACCUGGACCGAUAUUGACGCUGAGACGCGAAAGCGUGGGGAGCAAACAGGAUUAGAUACCCUGGUAGUCCACGCCGUAAACGAUGAGAACUAGGUGUUGCGGGUAUUGACCCCUGCAGUGCCGCAGCUAACGCAUUAAGUUCUCCGCCUGGGAAGUACGGUCGCAAGACUAAA
rnacentral:rRNA from 1 species